rnacentral:lncRNA from 1 species
CUGCGUCUGUGAUCGGUUCACCGCUCACGAACUGACUUUGCUCAGUCUAGCCAAGUUUGCCAUGGCUACACAUGUAUGCGGCAAUGGGUUGCACACAGACACUCACUGUGCAUAUUGGUAUAUUGUCAUAUUUGUGCGCGCACACACAAACACAUAAACACACACAAAUAUAUAUAUUUACACUUUAUAUAAUUUCCCAUGUUCAUCAUUAUGAUGUGAAGAAUGAAAUUUUGCAGGUUAUCGUGUUCCGGAAAUAAAGCUACCACCCCCACCCGCGGCAAGUACCUAGGCCUUAAGUGUAAGACCAUUUUCAUAAUGGAGAAAUAAUUAAAUAAAGCGAAGAAUGAUGUUAGAUGAAUGGCAUUUGCUGUGUAUUUGAUCUUUUUUGUGUGUAUUAAUAAAAAUUGGGCAUAGCCUCGUCACUUGUUGUUUGCAUUGGUAUGAUAACUGGUUCUCAUUGAUUCAUAGGAUUUUAACAGACAUAGAAAUAGAAAAAAAAAUAUGCUUCCAAUAUGCGAAGGAAUGUCCUCGUUGAUCU